rnacentral:rRNA from 1 species
UACAGAGGGUGCAAGCGUUAAUCGGAAUUACUGGGCGUAAAGCGUGCGUAGACGGUUAUGUAAGUCGGGUGUGAAAGCCCCGGGCUCAACCUGGGAAUGCCAUUCGAGACUGCAUAGCUAGGGUGCGGAAGAGGGAAGCGGAAUUUCCGGUGUAGCGGUGAAAUGCGUAGAUAUCGUAAGGAGGACCAGUGGCGAAGGCGGGUCUCUGGACAGUUCCUGACGCUGAGGCACGAAGGUCAGGGGAGCAAACGGG